rnacentral:rRNA from 1 species
GAUGAACGCUGGCGGCGUGCCUAAUACGUGCAAGUCGAGCGAACGGACGAGAAGCUUGCUUCUCUGAUGUUAGCGGCGGACGGGUGAGUAACACGUGGAUAACCUACCUAUAAGACUGGGAUAACUUCGGGAAACCGGAGCUAAUACCGGAUGAUAUUUUGAACCGCAUGGUUCAAAAGUGAAAGACGGUCUUGCUGUCACUUAUAGAUGGAUCCGCGCUGCAUUAGCUAGUUGGUAAGGUAACGGCUUACCAAGGCAACGAUGCAUAGCCGACCUGAGAGGGUGAUCGGCCACACUGGAACUGAGACACGGUCCAGACUCCUACGGGAGGCAGCAGUAGGGAAUCUGCCGCAAUGGGCGAAAGCCUGACGGAGCAACGCCGCGUGAGUGAUGAAGGUCUUCGGAUCGUAAAACUCUGUUAUUAGGGAAGAACAUAUGUGUAAGUAACUGUGCACAUCUUGACGGUACCUAAUCAGAAAGCCACGGCUAACUACGUG